GCCUGUGGGCUCAUCUUCUGGCAUCACUGCUCUGAAACAAGUUGGGAAGACCUUGUCUCCAGUCGGAGGUGGUGCAAUGGCUGUUUAUGUCCAGACCUGCUAAUGUAUCCUGCGUCACGGCGCGAGUUGGAGGACUAGUGAUGAAUUCUCUAUAGCUGCGGACAUAAGUUAUGUCAUAAGUAGCACAGGCAUUGUUGACAUGGAAGCUGUGCGUAAGAACCAGAUCUGCAGGGCCGAUGAGAAGAGCGCCCUCGCCUCCUUCAACAAGGAGAGAAGCAAGAUGGAAGACAAGAUCCUGUAGGACUUCCCAGAGAUGAUCCACAAGCACAUCAAGAAGAGGAAGUAACUUAAAGAUGCCAGUCCUCGCCUCCAUCACCGAGGAGGAACAGUGUCCAAGAUUGCAUGAGGGAUUCUCGUCAGAAUCUCAGGCACUGAUUCACGGAAAGGCAAGGAAUGGAAUCAAUCUUCUCAGAGAUGCAGUUCCUUGCUUCCACCUUGGCGAUGGAGUGAGUCUCUCUGCAUUUGUACACUACUCAAAAGGAUCAAAGGAUCAGAAUUAAAAAAAAAAAGACUCACUUUGUAACGUGUGAGUGUCAUUUAAUGUGGUUAUGUUCUGGCGACAAAACAAAAACUAUAUUGGUUCCAGUCUAAUGCAAACUUUCUCUGCUGAGCACUGAAGUCCUAUGAUUCAUGAAAAACACUUCGGUCAGCACUUUGUCCAGGUCUCCUACACAGGCGUAAAAAAAUGAUGAAAGUGGAGUUUGGGGAGAAUAUGAGUUGUUAGAAUGAUAUCCUGAUAAUGUGAGGGCGCUAUUCAUGAGUUGGAAUGAUAUCCUGGUAAUGUGAGGGCGCUAUUUAUGAGUUGGAAUGAUAU